rnacentral:rRNA from 1 species
AGGUGGAGUGAUUCGUCUGGUUAAUUCCGUUAACGAACGAGACCUCGACCUGCUAAAUAGCUUUACUCAUUCCGAUGGGGAGAAGCUUCUUAGAGGGACUUUGGGUGUGUAGCCCACGGAAGUUCGAGGCAAUAACA